rnacentral:rRNA from 1 species
UGCGUAGGCGGAAUAUUAAGUCAGUGGUGAAAUCCUGCGGCUCAACCGUAGAACUGCCAUUGAUACUGAUAUUCUUGAAUGUAGUUGAGGUAGGCGGAAUGUGUAAUGUAGCGGUGAAAUGCUUAGAUAUUACACAGAACACCGAUUGCGAGGGCAGCUUACUAAACUAUGAUUGACGCUGAGGCACGAAAGCGUGGGGAGCGAACAGGAUUAGAUACCCUGGUAGUCC